AAGUAGGUCUUAGUGAUCCGGUGGUUCUGUAUGGAAGGGCCAUCGCUCAACGGAUAAAAGGUACUCCGGGGAUAACAGGCUGAUACCGCCCAAGAGUUCAUAUCGACGGCGGUGUUUGGCACCUCGAUGUCGGCUCAUCACAUCCUGGGGCUGAAGCCGGUCCCAAGGGUAUGGCUGUUCGCCAUUUAAAGUGGUACGCGAGCUGGGUUUAGAACGUCGUGAGACAGUUCGGUCCCUAUCUGCCGUGGACGUUUGAGAUUUGAGAGGGGCUGCUCCUAGUACGAGAGGACCGGAGUGGACGAACCUCUGGUGUUCCGGUUGUCACGCCAGUGGCAUUGCCGGGUAGCUA
rnacentral:rRNA from 1 species